UUGAACGCUGGCGGCAUGCCUUACACAUGCAAGUCGAGCGGUAGAGGGGCAACCCUUGAGAGUGGCGAACGGGUGAGUAAUGCAUCGGAACGUGCCCAGUCGUGGGGGAUAACGCAGCGAAAGCUGUGCUAAUACCGCAUGUGAUCUGUGGAUGAAAGCAGGGGACCGCAAGGCCUUGUGCGAUUGGAGCGGCCGAUGUCAGAUUAGCUAGUUGGUAGGGUAAAAGCCUACCAAGGCGACGAUCUGUAGCUG
rnacentral:rRNA from 1 species